rnacentral:tRNA from 1 species
GGACGAUUAGCUCAAUGGUAGAGCGUCUCUCUUACACAGAGAAGGCCGCAGGUUCGAUCCCUGCAUCGUCCA